GGUGACUGCGUACCUUUUGUAUAAUGGGUCAGCGACUUAUAUUCUGUAGCAAGGUUAACCGAAUAGGGGAGCCGCAGGGAAACCGAGUCUUAACUGGGCGUUAAGUUGCAGGGUAUAGACCCGAAACCCGGUGAUCUAGCCAUGGGCAGGUUGAAGGUUGGGUAACACUAACUGGAGGACCGAACCGACUAAUGUUGAAAAAUUAGCGGAUGACUUGUGGCUGGGGGUGAAAGGCCAAUCAAACCGGGAGAUAGCUGGUUCUCCCCGAAAGCUAUUUAGGUAGCGCCUCGUGAACUCAUCUUCGGGGGUAGAGCACUGUUUCGGCUAGGGGGUCAUCCCGACUUACCAACCCGAUGCAAACUACGAAUACCGAAGAAUGUUAUCACGGGAGACACACGGCGGGUGCUAACGUCCGUCGUGAAGAGGGAAACAACCCAGACCGCCAGCUAAGGUCCCAAAGUCAUGGUUAAGUGGGAAACGAUGUGGGAAGGCCCAGACAGCCAGGAUGUUGGCUUAGAAGCAGCCAUCAUUUAAAGAAAGCGUAAUAGCUCACUGGUCGAGUCGGCCUGCGCGGAAGAUGUAACGGGGCUAAACCAUGCACCGAAGCUGCGGCAGCGACGCUUAUGCGUUGUUGGGUAGGGGAGCGUUCUGUAAGCCGUUGAAGGUGGCCUGUGAGGGUUGCUGGAGGUAUCAGAAGUGCGAAUGCUGACAUAAGUAACGAUAAUGCGGGUGAAAAACCCGCACGCCGGAAGACCAAGGGUUCCUGUCCAACGUUAAUCGGGGCAGGGUGAGUCGACCCCUAAGGCGAGGCCGAAAGGCGUAGUCGAUGGGAAACAGGUUAAUAUUCCUGUACUUGGUGUUACUGCGAAGGGGGGACGGAGAAGGCUAUGUUGGCCGGGCGACGGUUGUCCCGGUUUAAGCAUGUAGGCGGAUGUUCCAGGUAAAUCCGGAACGUUAUUAACGCUGAGGUGUGAUGACGAGGCACUACGGUGCUGAAGUGACAAAUGCCCUGCUUCCAGGAAAAGCCUCUAAGCAUCAGGUAACAUCAAAUCGUACCCCAAACCGACACAGGUGGUCAGGUAGAGAAUACCAAGGCGCUUGAGAGAACUCGGGUGAAGGAACUAGGCAAAAUGGUGCCGUAACUUCGGGAGAAGGCACGCUGAUGGUAAGUGAAGUGACUUGCUCAUGGAGCUGAAAUCAGUCGAAGAUACCAGCUGGCUGCAACUGUUUAUUAAAAACACAGCACUGUGCAAACACGAAAGUGGACGUAUACGGUGUGACGCCUGCCCGGUGCCGGAAGGUUAAUUGAUGGGGUUAUCCUCGCGGAGAAGCUCUUGAUCGAAGCCCCGGUAAACGGCGGCCGUAACUAUAACGGUCCUAAGGUAGCGAAAUUCCUUGUCGGGUAAGUUCCGACCUGCACGAAUGGCGUAAUGAUGGCCAGGCUGUCUCCACCCGAGACUCAGUGAAAUUGAACUCGCUGUGAAGAUGCAGUGUACCCGCGGCAAGACGGAAAGACCCCGUGAACCUUUACUAUAGCUUGACACUGAACACUGGUCCUUGAUGUGUAGGAUAGGUGGGAGGCUUUGAAGUGUGGACGCCAGUCUGCAUGGAGCCGUCCUUGAAAUACCACCCUUUAAUGGCUGGUGUUCUAACGUNGGCCCCUAAUCGGGGUUGCGGACAGUGUCUGGUGGGUAGUUUGACUGGGGCGGUCUCCUCCUAAAGAGUAACGGAGGAGCACGAAGGUCAGCUAAUCCUGGUCGGACAUCAGGAGGUUAGUGCAAUGGCAUAAGCUGGCUUGACUGCGAGCGUGACGGCGCGAGCAGGUGCGAAAGCAGGUCAUAGUGAUCCGGUGGUUCUGAAUGGAAGGGCCAUCGCUCAACGGAUAAAAGGUACUCCGGGGAUAACAGGCUGAUACCGCCCAAGAGUUCAUAUCGACGGCGGUGUUUGGCACCUCGAUGUCGGCUCAUCACAUCCUGGGGCUGAAGUAGGUCCCAAGGGUAUGGCUGUUCGCCAUUUAAAGUGGUACGCGAGCUGGGUUUAGAACGUCGUGAGACAGUUCGGUCCCUAUCUGCCGUGGGCGCUGGAGAAUUGAGGGGGGCUGCUCCUAGUACGAGAGGACCGGAGUGGACGCAUCACUGGUGUUCGGGUUGUCAUGCCAAUGGCAUUGCCCGGUAGCUAAAUGCGGAAGAGAUAAGUGCUGAAAGCAUCUAAGCACGAAACUUGCCCCGAGAUGAGUUCUCCCUGACUCCUUGA
rnacentral:rRNA from 1 species